rnacentral:sRNA from 12 species
GACCUAACCCGCCAUUGGCGGUAUGGUUGUUACAAAUCCAUCGUGAAAUAAAAGCUCGUCGUCAGAGCACUGUUUCACGAUAGUCGGUACUGGAAACGGUACCGGGUAGCUUCGGCUAUC